GACGAACGCUGGCGGCGUGCCUAAUACCUGCAAGUCGAACGCAGUGGGGACGGGUGAGUAACACGUGGGUAACCUCCCAUCAGAGGGGAUAACACUUGGAGACAGGUGCUAAACCGAUAUUGAUUGAUGGACCCGCGGUGCAUUAUCUAGUUGGUGAUGUAACGGCUCACCAAGGCCACGAUGCAUAGUCGACCUGAGAGGGGGAUAGGCCACACGGGGACUGCGUCGCGGCCCAGACUCCUACGGGAGGCAGCAGGAGGGAAUCAUCGGCAAUGGACGAAAGUCUGACCUAGCAACGCCGCGUGAGUGAAGAAGGUUUUCGGAUCGGAAAACUCUGUUGUUAGAGAAGCGGUAUCUAACCAGAAAGCCACGGCUAACUACGUGCCAGCAGCCGCGGUAAUAC
rnacentral:rRNA from 1 species